rnacentral:rRNA from 1 species
UACGGGGGGGAGCAAGCGUUUGUUCGGAUUUACUGGGCGUAAAGGGCGCGUAGGCGGCGUAACAAGUCACUUGUGAAAUCUCCGGGCUUAACUCGGAGCGGUCAAGUGAUACUGUUGUGCUAGAGUGCGGAAGGGGCUACUGGAAUUCUCGGUGUAGCGGUGAAAUGCGUAGAUAUCGAGAGGAACACCUGCGGCGAAGGCGGGUAGCUGGGCCGACACUGACGCUGAAGCGCGAAAGCCAGGGGAGCAAACGGG